rnacentral:rRNA from 1 species
UACGGGGGGGGCAAGCGUUGUUCGGAAUUACUGGGCGUAAAGGGCUCGUAGGCGGCCAACUAAGUCGGAUGUGAAAUCCCCAGGCUUAACCUGGGAACUGCAUCCGAUACUGGAUGGCUUGAAUCCGGGAGAGGGAUGCAGAAUUCCAGGUGUAGCGGUGAAAUGCGUAGAUAUGACAUAGAACACCAAUUGCGAAGGCAGCUCACUACACGGUAAUUGACACUGAGGCACGAAAGCGUGGGGAUCAAACAGG